rnacentral:rRNA from 1 species
CACUCCUGCGGGAGGCAGCAGUGGGGAAUAUUGCACAAUGGGCGCAAGCCUGAUGCAGCCAUGCCGCGUGUAUGAAGAAGGCCUUCGGGUUGUAAAGUACUUUCAGCGGGGAGGAAGGCGAUAAGGUUAAUAACCUUGUUGAUUGACGUUACCCGCAGAAGAAGCACCGGCUAACUCCGUGCCAGCAGCCGCGGUAAUACGGAGGGUGCAAGCGUUAAUCGGAAUUACUGGGCGUAAAGCGCACGCAGGCGGUCUGUCAAGUCGGAUGUGAAAUCCCCGGGCUCAACCUGGGAACUGCAUUCGAAACUGGCAGGCUAGAGUCUUGUAGAGGGGGGUAGAAUUCCAGGUGUAGCGGUGAAAUGCGUAGAGAUCUGGAGGAAUACCGGUGGCGAAGGCGGCCCCCUGGACAAAGACUGACGCUCAGGUGCGAAAGCGUGGGGAGCAAACAGGAUUAGAUACCCGUGUAGUCCCAUGA